UGGGGAAUAUUGGACAAUGGGCGAAAGCCUGAUCCAGCAAUGCCGCGUGAGUGAUGAAGGCCUUAGGGUUGUAAAGCUCUUUUACCCGGGAAGAUAAUGACUGUACCGUGAGAAUAAGCUCCGGCUAACUCCGUGCCAGCAGCCGCGGUAAUACGGAGGGAGCUAGCGUUGUUCGGAAUUACUGGGCGUAAAGCGCACGUAGGCGGCUUUGUAAGUUAGAGGUGAAAGCCUGGAGCUCAACUCCAGAAUUGCCUUUAAGACUGCAUCGCUUGAAUCAUGGAGAGGCGGGUGGAAUUCCGAGUGUAGAGGUGAAAUUCGUAGAUAUUCGGAAGAACACCAGUGGCGAAGGCGGCCCGCUGGACAUGUAUUGACGCUGAGGUGCGAAAGCGUGGGGAGCAAAC
rnacentral:rRNA from 1 species